rfam:Ictidomys tridecemlineatus contig097460, whole genome shotgun sequence.
GGGGUUGUAGCUCAGUGGUAGAGCACUUACCUAGCAUCUGUGAGGCACUGGUUUCAAUUCUCAGCCCCA